CCCCAUUAUGUACCAUGUUUACAUAUUCUGUUGUGCUGCAUGCAGCAAGUGAGAAUUUCAUUGUCCUAUCUGGGACACAUGACAAUCAACUCCUCUUGACUCUUGACUUGAGGAAAGUGUUUUGGGACACAACAGAACAAUAGAAUUGUUGCAUUUCUUUUUCAAACCUAAGUUUACAGAUGUAACUGUAUAUUAAGAUGUCUACAGAUGUAGCUGUAUAUUAAGAUAAAUACUGAGCUAUAUUAGUAAUUAUUUGCAUUAUUGUUAAUGUCUUUGCUGUUAUUCUGUAAUUGCACCAAAGAAUUAAAUUAAAAACUCAUAAUACUCAUGAAA